UAUUUCAUCACAGAAUUACAUGGAAGAAACUGGAGAGAUAACUCUUAAAAUGUCAAAUUAUUCUCCUAAUUCACCCAGCUGUGGAAAUAUGGCUUUAGAGUGUAUGAUAGAAUGUGAACCAGAUCCAUGGAAAAUACAUAUUUGACUCUGCUCUUCCCUGCUGAGUCCCUAAUAGAAAAUGAAUGUCUAUUGCUUUUCUGUUGAUAUGCACAGUGUUUUUCCUCCAUAGGAUUAACUCAUGCACAAGUCAGUGGUCCUAUCCAAUAUCCUUAAAACUUACAAACCAAACAGGGAAAGAUGGGGAAGUGGACAGAGGAGAGAUUACAAAGGAGCUGAAGCGGGGAAAUCAACACUGAGCAUCAUCAUCCCGUUCCAGGACCUGAUUGCACUGGAUAAAGUGACCCUGUUGCUGUUUGCCAGGGUGUGAACAGCUGACUAAGCCAGGAGAAGAGUUUAUAUCCUGUGGCAAGAUUAUAUGGAAAUAAAGAACAAAUGACAAGAAAGAGAAAACAGAAGUAAAAGUUGGAGUAGAAAUCUGUACAUAAUGCUAGAGUGAUUAUCAGGAGAAAGGUUCACUAUGGCUGCUUGACAGUCAUGGGAAAAUGUGUUAAGGAAGAGGAUUUCAAAAGCCUUUGAACAAGAAAAGAGAGGAAGAAUUAUGUGACUGAGCAACAAAAGUGGUAAGCACAGCUUCCUGAAUGCUGUGAUUGCAACAUU